UGGUAACCUGCCAAAAUAAUGCCAAAGUUC
rnacentral:piRNA from 1 species